UGAAAUUUGACAGUCUGACAUUGAAAAUGUAAACAGAUCAAAAUCUAGCAGAUAUUCUCUUUUUGCAUACUUAUGAUGACUGAAAAAGGACAUAAUCAAUUUUUCAUCAUCUUACCGCGGCCAACUAUCAAUACAAGUCAAGCACCUGCUGUACAUAGAACAACAAUCCAUUACAGCUUUGACUAUGCCAAGCAGGUCUUCUACCCAUAUUAGGCACAGCAAGAGUGCCCUGCUUUGAAGUGUUCUGUAAAUCACAUGGUUCACAGAUAUCUCAGUGAUGGAGGGUUUAGUUGUUAUGUGGCCAUUGGUGUGGUACCUCAUUUUCAACAUCAUCCAUAUAGAGAAGACUCUGCAUACCUGCACAUUGACAACUGUGUUGGGUGGAAUAAAAACAAUGCAGUCAUUGGGGUCUGAUGUAUUCUGAAGGGAGAGAAACAGCAUUUACUUAAAUGAAUGCAGGUGACAUAAAGUUCAGUGCUGUGUGAGAUUUGGUCUGUGGAAGACCAAAUGGAGGCAGCACACAUCCUUUGUGGAUUGAUGACCUUGGCAAACUGGUUAUAUUCUUUGACUGGUUGGAGUACACCAAGUGACCCCUGAAGUCCAUUCCAAACUUGAGGAAAUAUCAUCACUUCAGAACUUCAGCUGACCACCCAGUGAGUGAAUUCAUGAGAGAGCAUGCCAAGGACAGUGAGAUUGAAGUUAAGAUUGACAAGCCCACAACAAUGGCUUUUCCAUUGAGAGUACCCUGAACGCAUCCAACUAAAAGGACUUAAUGCAAAAAGGCUCUGAUCCCUUAAAUAAGUGAAAAAACUAAUAUACUGAUAUGUGAUCUUUAUAAACUAAAUAUAAGAUUUGAGAAUGAGCCUGUUACUGAGCUGAUGAAAACGUGUAUCAUUUUUUAUUGACAAUUAUUUAUUCAAUAGGAACAUGUUCAUAUGAAAUGAAGCUACCAGUGAUUUUGAGUGAAAAACUGUGGUUUUAGCAAAUGAGUGAUAGAAGGGUGCUACACCCUGUCCUUUGUUGGUAGAGCCCCUCUGCCAUAAUGGAGACCACUAUAUGAUUAUUAUUAAUACAAACUUAAACCAAUCUGGCAGUUGAAGCCUAUAAAUGCUUGAAUUGAAGACAUUUAUAAUAUUGUUUGUCAAUAUUAAUUACUCACAGCCUGAUAAAAUGUACCUUAACAACCUUUCAGUUUUCUUCAAUAUCUUUAUAAAACCUUCCUGAAUCCUAUAAACAUUUUCAGCUUUAACUUUUACCUAUGAAUAAGCAUUGAAAAUAUAAUUUGUCAGGUACUAUGUGACCAAUUGCAUACCUCUUGAAACUACAUAAUGACGUGUACAUGCUUAGUAGUUAGCGUGUUAAAUAAAUUGUUUUCAUUUUUGUAAAAUGUAAAUGUGCCCAUUUAUUAACUGAUCUAAUUUUACAAUAGUGUAAAUUGUGUAGGAUUGUUAUGUUUAUUUAAUUAAGAGUAUAUUUACUACCAUUUCAUGUUUUAUGAGCAAUGAAUGACUACACAAAAAAUCACAUUUGAGGUAAAGUUAGUGUGAUUAUAAUCAUGUUUGUGGCCUGUUGCCAUGAUAACCAGGAUAAAAAACAAACCCUUAAAUAUCAUUCAAAUAAGAUAAAUUAUAGUAAAUUACAGUGGUAACAUACUUUAACUUCUAGAUAUUCAUUGGUUUGUAUUAGGUGCAAGUUCCAACCUAAUGUCAAUUUAUUGUGAAAAAUUGCCAAUAAACUACGGUACUUGGCAAAGAGUUUUUAUUUAUUUUGAUUUUUUUUUAAUGUCAAAUACAUACACCAUGUACAGUAAGGUUUGAGGAUAUCAAUUAACAAAUCAAUUAUUAUUGAAUGCUUCAUAUGGCAUUUAUUGUAUAUUUAAAUGCAAAUAUAACCCCAAAACGCCUUUUUCAAUAAUGGUUGCCAUGGUAACAAAUUAAUUUUCAUUUAUUUUCUCAAUAAUAAUUGAGAAUGGUUUUGAAAAUAUAUUGUUGUCGUUAUAAUGUGGGAAUUGUGUAUAUUGUGAUGAAUAUUUAUUGCAUCUGUGAAUACAAAUGUUUCAAUCAAUUCUUGAACUUUACCGAAUUUCUAGCUGUGUCUUAACCAAGUGCCCUUCUAGUUUUUGUCAUAAUUUCGUUAAAAAUAGGAAUUUUUGAAUUUUCUUUUCAGUAUUUUUAUCCUAAAGAAUAGUACAGUCAGAAAUAACUCAUAUCUCAUUUUCGCCCAAAAAGUGGUUUCGGGCCAAAAAUCCCAUGACUGGUCACAUAUGUUGUAAACUUGUAAUAUAUUCACAUAUAUAUAAUUUAUAUAUUAUAUAUUAAUAGCAAUAACUCAUGUUUUGUUGAAUAAUCUAUGUGCUUGUUUUUUUAAAAUGUUACAGAUGUAUUGUUGUUGAAUGUUUAUUAUUCAGUUUAAAGUCUUAUAUUUCAAAUAAUUAAAUAUGUUCAUACUUUCUGCAUACAUUGUUAUAUUCAAUGAUGAAAUGGUGCUAACAACAUCAACUACAGGGAAUUUAUAUUCAUUUCAAACUGCUGAGGGGGUCAAACCAUUUUUUGGGGUAAUUUGCAGAACCUUAAACAUCUAAAAUAUACACAAUGCUGUUUUACAUAUUAAAAUAGUAAAGUAAAGGUUGAUUGUCAGAUAACUGUGAUCAUUAAUU